GAAAUGUCCAGCUCAAGUUCAGGUUUGCAAUGACCUCCAAGAUGCAGAAGAAGAAGAAGAAGAAGAUGAAGAAGCGGCGGCGGCGGCAGCAGCAGCAAGAAGAAGCAAGAAUCACCAAUGAACGCGUUAAGGCUGCAGAACAUGGCUAAGCAUGUGUGUAUGUCGUAUGAACACACACCCACCCGGGCUGCGCCCCCCUCCCUUUCUGUAUCUUGGAGGAAGUAAGCUUAGGAGAG